rnacentral:rRNA from 1 species
UACGGAGGGUGCAAGCGUUAUCCGGAUUCACUGGGUUUAAAGGGUGCGUAGGCGGGUAGGUAAGUCAGUGGUGAAAUCUUCGAGCUUAACUCGGAAACUGCCUUUGAUACUAUCUAUCUUGAAUAUUGUGGAGGUAAGCGGAAUAUGUCAUGUAGCGGUGAAAUGCUUAGAUAUGACAUAGAACACCUAUUGCGAAGGCAGCUUACUACGCAUAUAUUGACGCUGAGGCACGAAAGCGUGGGGAUCAAACAGG